CAAGGCCUUAAUGAAAGAGAGACUCCCUUGUCCACAGUGACAGUCUGUAGCUCCCAGCAUCUUCUCCCAAACUUCCCCAGAGCUAUGAAAUGCCAACGUAGCUCAUGAGCAAACUGAGAUACAGGCCCUUGGAAGCAGCACAGAAGUAUCACUGGAUGUUCCUGUGCUUCUUGAAGGUGUCUGCCCAUCACCACUUUGAUCACCCUGCACUGGAUUCUCCAUCUUUUCCCCCCCUGGUAUCACCAGGAGAGGGGUUGGACAUCAAGGAAAAUCAGUUGCCUGAGGUGGCUCUGAUGAAGCUGCUCAGGGAAGUGUGGAUGCUGCUGGUGUCCUGUGCCCUCCAGAACACUCCUGGAUGUGGUGGCAUCUCAGUGACCCUCACUGAGCCAUGGGAAUGAAUAUUGAAGGCAGCUGAUGUGUGUGCCCGGGAAUAAAGGACAAGGAAUUCCUGGGAUUGGCUGCAAUGGUUCAAAUGUGAUUGCACCAAUGCUCCUGUUGUGUUGCUCUUCUCAAAAAGCCCAGCCUGCAGGAGA